AUACGUAGGGUGCAAGCGUUAAUCGGAAUUACUGGGCGUAAAGCGUGCGCAGGCGGUUCGGGAAGAAGGAUGUGAAAUCCCAGGGCUCAACCUUGGAACUGCAUUCUUAACUACCGAACUAGAGUAUGUCAGAGGGGGGUAGAAUUCCGCGUGUAGCAGUGAAAUGCGUAGAUAUGCGGAGGAAUACCGAUGGCGAAGGCAGCCCCCUGGGAUAAUACUGAUGCUCAUGCACGAAAGCGUGGGUAGCAAACAUGAUUAGAUACCCUGGUAGUCCACGCCCUAAACGAUGUCAACUAGCUGUUGGGCCCUUCGGGGCUUAGUAGCGUAGCUAACGCGUGAAGUUGACCGCCUGGGGAGUACGGUCGCAAGAUUAAAACUCAAAUGAAUUGACGGGG
rnacentral:rRNA from 1 species